rnacentral:tRNA from 1 species
GGGGUUGUGGCUCAGAGGUAGAGUGCUUGUCUAGCAGGCGUGAGGUCCUGAGUUCCAUCCUCAGCACCACA